AAGUUCGUGACAUUACUAAGUUACUUUUCUAUAUGUAAAUAUAAUCCGAAGCUACGAAACCUGCCUUUCUCAACUAAUGAGUAGUGCAUCUAUUACUUUAUCUAUAUAUAUUUUUUUCUAAACCAUCGAAAACCGUCGUAAAAUGUUAUUGACUAUAUGGACGAUUAUUGACAAAACGUACAUGUUUGUAUGCACCAAUAAAAAAGUACCGCUAUUUUAUUUUAUAACAACGCUCAAAGCAGUCCAUACUUCACACAUACUACCUGUGCACGUAGAUAUGGCUAUGUACAUACUUUUACUGAAAACAAUAAGCUUUAAGCUCUUGUGCAGUUCGGUCAUAACAUUAGAUUUUUACUUGCCUGGCACUAUCCUUCGGGGAAAACAGGUUAUUCUAACGGUACAAAUCGUCCAUAAACAUUGCCGUCAAGCAGUCAUGCAUAGUUUAUUUUCCUGAAGCACAACGGAAUCUUUCCAAAAAAAUAUGGUGCAAGUAGUAGUACGUUCAUGUGUAUUUUUAUCAAUCUUUAGGAAAACAAUGAUUCACGAAAUCCAACUGUGUAUUGUUCUUCUGUACACAUACAUACCUGGACAUCUAAUAUACAUAUGUAUGUAUAUAAAAAAUGUCGUAUGCUUAUACUUUCAACGAAUAUGUUUUGUAAAAUUUAAGCAUCGCUGCAGUAUUAUUCAAAGUAAACAUUGAAAUGUCAACAAAGGGAUUGAAAUGUUAUAAAUUAUAUCCUCCAUACGCUCGUAAGAGCGAUAGCUGUCUUCAAUCGUAUGUCCUAUAACAUUUACAUUUAUGUACAUAUGUAUAUAUGUAUAUCUCGACCGUUAUAUAGGUCGCUAACCAUAGCAACUGCAAUUUCAUUAAUUGUCGGCGAAAUAUAUUACCCCGCAUGCCUUCCAAAUGGUAAUUUGAUUGUGUAAAAACGGUACUCAUACCCGAAAUUUUUCGGUACUUCAUCUGCUCGAUGUGGUUAUACUGCCAGUAAAACAUACGUUUUUUGCUGUUUUUAUUAUUAUACAUGUUGCUCGUAGAGUAAGAGGGUAUACUAGAUUCGUUGAAAAGUAUGUAACAGCAGAAGGAAGCUUUUCCGUGUGUAUAAAGUAUAUAUAUUCCUGAUCAGGAUCAAUAGCAGAAUGGCCUGCCUGUCCGUAUGAAGGUCGAGAUCUAAGAAACUAUAAAAGCAAGAAGGUGGAGAUUAAGUAUACAGAUUCCAGAGGCAAAGACGCAGCGCACGCCCACAAACCGCACAAAAUUGCCUCGCCCACAAGGGCGUCGCCUGGUCAGCAGCCAGGGGGGCAAUAAGUAGACUUCAUCUUCCAACACUGGAAACUCUUAGUGAAUGUACCUAUCAAACAGCUUAUGUAUGGGAAGCAGGUCGAUAGAAUUUGAGGCAGAUUGACUAAGAGAAUAAGAACAGUACAUAGUGUAGAUAAACAACGGGAAGUUACGUGAUAAGCAGCAAAUUAUGAAAUUUCUUGAACAUUCCUUUUAGGUCUAGGGGUGGAAGCUGACCCCCUUGCCCUACCCUGGUGACACCUUUGCAUGCCCACACUUCUGAACCAUUUUUCGAAAUUUUUUCAUAAUUUUAUUAGUCUUGUAAAUUUUUAUGGCACAAAACUGCCCCGCCCACAUUUGUGAACCAUGUUUUAAAAUUUUUUCAUCAAUUUGUUAGUCUUGUAAUUUUUAUCCAUUUGCUAAAAAUCUUUUUGCAAAACACCUAAAACGGUCACGGCCGCACUUUUAAUCAAUUUAUAUUUUUUUUUCGUAUUUAUUACACAAUAUCUAUCGAUAUCCCAGAAAAAUGGUGAAAUUUCGUGUUGGCAUUCACGUGUCAUGUGUACACAUGUGUGAAAUCAAAACAAUAUAUAUACAUUUUUUUUACUGGCAGACCAAAGACAAUAGAAUAAUUCUAGUGUCUUUGGCCAGACUCUAUAUUUUUGGUCGCCAUAGUAAGAAAAGAAAGCAGAAUUUCAUGAAAUGGUACUUACGAAACUCAAAUGAUGAAAAGGAUAGAAACAUGUAGAGUAGGACGAUGCGUUGUUAUUGGUUUUGUACGUUUCUAUUCAGUUGCAUUUUCAAUUUUAAAUCGUCAAGUUCGUCAGUGUGUUCUUAGAAAUUUAGCGACGGCUUUGCGGUUUGUAUCUUGCAAGUAUGUAUUUAUUUAUAUAUAUAUUUAUAUUUCCAUCUUUGCAUCUAAUUAUUAUUUUUUUAUGUUACUAUUAUUUAGUAUUCCCAAUACAGUUGUACAGCUUGUUGUCUUGCAGAUGAUGGUCUUUCGUCUAUCAGGGUAUACAUAGAUAAACAUAAUAAAUCAACACAGCUACUGAUACUGAAAUUUAUGGACUUAUAAUUAAGUAAAAUAAAAAAUGCAAUAUUUCUUAAACUGGGACUUUGUUAUAUACUUUGGGAACACUUUAGGUACAUAUGACAACCAGAACCCUUUCAGGGAAUUCUUACAAAGGCAUUUCAGGGAAUGCACCCAAACGGAUUUUAGGGAAUUACGAAGCAUUAGGUAAAGUUACCAUAUCCUUAAUGUUGCAGUACUUCCACUCGAGAAAGAAUUAUUUUGAAAGGACUUCUUAUACGUAUACAUUGACAACUGUAUGUGUGUACACCCGUAUGCUCAUGCAUUGUAAAUUUGAUCUAAAAUUUUUGAUCAAUUGGCACCAUGUAAAAUAUUCUUGUUUUGCAUUUCCUUAACAUGAUAAUAAAAGAAUAUAGCAUAGAAAUAGAAAUAGCGGAAUCUACCCUGCAGUACCGUCCACCGAUGAGUCACCGCUCAAAAGCUAUAAAGAUCGCUUAAUGACCGAACAAUUUGUAUGAAAUCAGCGAUGAUUUUAACCUAGGCAGUCAGCUAUGAAAAAAUUCGCACAAACACAGCUGAAAGAGCGCAAAAUUAUCGUUUUUAAUCCCCGUUUUUUAGGCGCUUUUUAAACGCAUUCAUCGGUGUAUUCUUCGCUUUUUUACCGCUGUUUAUUCAGUUAAUCCCAACUCCUUCUGAAGUGAUAAAUUUGCUUUAAUUUGGCUUAUUAUUUAAAUAAUUAUACAAAUAAAUAUAAAAUACCAGAGUCUGGGGCGUCUUGUUGUUCUUUGGAGUUAGGCCCACAUUCUUUUUGGAAGAAUGGGUCCACAUGUCCGUUAACUUUAAAGUAAAAUAUGUUAUUUAUAGCAUGUACAAAAAUGUAUUACGAAAAAUAAUAUAUUCUGCGAGUAGUACGUGUUGUUGCUUGUAAAAUGAAUCCAUUAAUGGAAUUGCCUGGAUUAAUGAAUUAAAUUCGAAAAUACUUAUCAUUUUCUUAAACACUAGCACUCAAUUAAUAUCGCGGUUGUUUCCCACAAAAAUCUAGCAUUUAUUGUUAUUUCCCUAUUGCUCGUCCUCGUCCCUGUCCCUUUUACUUACAACAUACACAUAUACGCUCGGCGACGGAGAGCAGUUGACAAGAAAUAAAAUAGAAAUUAAUUUAUUUGAACUAUCAUCGCUUAUUCAUCGCAUUGAAUUUUUAUGAGAGAUCGCGCACGAGGGUCGGAAGAGCGUUGGCUCUGCAGCCGAAACAGUUGUGGAACUGCAGGUAUUCAGCCUUCGACGUUUGAAAAACCGUGCCUGAAGAAAUCAAUUUUUCAAUAAACAUUUCACAUAUUUGUAUUUAUUUUAUAAAUUUUAACUUUGUACU